GGUCUCUGGAAAGACAGGCAGGUCACUCACUGAUGAGUGAGCAUGUGCUGGGUCUAUAAUGCCACCUGAAUCACUUCAUGACCUCAUGAUGCUGAGGAGGACAAGAACCUAGGGCCACCCCCACAUAACCAGCCCACCGCAGAGCAGCCUGCACCAUCGCAGAGGCCCCUACGUGCAGAAAGAGGAACGGCCAGUUUGCUGCAAUGACUCAGCCACAAAAAUCUCACCGUUCUCCGGAGAGCCCACACAUCCCUGGCAGCAACAGUCAGUGGUUACAGUUUUGCACCCAUUUCUCAAGUGCCUCGACUUGUGAGCUUUACCUGAGAAAGACCUUACUCUUCUGUGCAAGUCACAGCCCUCAGUGUCAUGGAGCCUGGAACUGGCCAAGUCAGGUAGUCAAUCAACAAACACACAUCAGUGUCAAAUAGGUACCAACCUCAGGCAGAGAUGAAGUUGCAAUAGAGCAGCAGGCUGAGCACCAGGCAAGCAGAUCCCAGCCAGCCCUGUAUGUUCCAGCCACUCGAGGCAUGUGGCUGGCUGACUGCUCCUCUCUGUAAAGGGGAAUGGUGGUCACCUAGGCCUGUUCCUGCUGCACCCAUCCCUCUGUCUGGUGAGCACCCUGACCCUCAGAGACGCACCAAAUGAACUUGGAGGUUCUCAGCCCCUAGGAUACAGAAACACACAUGCUUGCCAAGAUCCCACCCUCCGUGGAGGACGCAAUCCAGAAAAACCACUGAAGAAGGAAGUUUGGUGACAGCUUUAACAGACCAAGCACAUCUAGGGGAGAAAGAGGAAGGGGAAUCGGGACAGAGGAACAGCACAGACAAAAACACAGAGGUCUGAAAAUACAAGCUGAACUUCAAGGAUGGCUCAGGGCCUGGCCCCUGAGUGCCACAGGCAGGCAGGGAAGUCUGGACAGCCGUCAGGGUAGCAGUGGAAGCUGGGGAUUCGAAUUAUGAUGUCCUGACCCAGGAGGGCCAGCCCCUCUAUAACUAGGUCCUGCUAAUGGUUGGGCCAUUGAGCUAAAGGUCCCCACCUGCCCCCAGAGAAACUGCACCCCACCCUCCCCAAAAAAACACCAAACACUG